AGUUCCAGAGUAUGUACUAGGCUUACUCAAUUUCAACCUAGUAGAUAUCGGCUCUCUUCUCCUCAAGGCUUUUAUUUGCCCUUGCAAUGUAGUAAUCUGGUCUAAGAGGUAUUAUAUUUGAACUUCAAUCUAGGAUUACUCCGCCAUAUCUCCCAUACUAUAAUUUUUUAAUUAGACUCUACUAUUAUAAUAUCUUUUCACUUCCUGAUUGACUUUUUAAGAAUAGCUUGUGGUAUCCUCAACACAAUUCCUGAUGUAACUACAAUAAUUGAUCUUGAACUAAAUGGAGACUAUUAACAUGCUACCAAAGAUAAAU
rnacentral:lncRNA from 1 species